rnacentral:lncRNA from 1 species
CUUCUCCCAGCAUGACCUGGCCUGGAUUGACAACAUCAUCCCUGAGAAGGAGAAGAAGAAGGAAGAUGACAAGAAGAAGAAGAAAAAGGGCAACAAAGGGGACAGCAGCAGUGAUGAGGAGGAAAGAGGUCCCCCACCUGGAGCUCUGCGUUCUGACUCCUCCCCGAAUGGUUCUGACAUGGAUCGCAGCAUUACACUCCACCUGAAGAUUUCAUGCCCAUCAUCUCCUGCAUUUAAUUACUCCCGAAGCCCCAUCUGUGCUGUGCCCCAGGUGAAGAUAGAGAUGGAGUCAGACUAUGAGGACACCGACACCGAAAAGCCACCGCGGGACAUGGGCAGUGAGACCACGCUAUAGUUCCC